rnacentral:rRNA from 1 species
AAAACUCCCAACCCAUGUGAACAUACUUUUGUUGCUUCGGCGGAGUCUGCUUCGUGGACUUACCUAGGAGCUACCCUGUAGCAACUAGGUGGGCCUACCCUGUAGAGCCGCCGGUGGCCCUGAAAACUCUUGUGAUUAUUGAAAAUCUGAGUUAAACGCUUAAUAAGUUAAAACUUUCAACAACGGAUCUCUUGGUUCUGGCAUCGAUGAAGAACGCAGCGAAAUGCGAUAAGUAAUGUGAAUUGCAGAAUUCAGUGAAUCAUCGAAUCUUUGAACGCACAUUGCGCCCAUUAGUAUUCUAGUGGGCAUGCCUGUUCGAGCGUCAUUUCAACCAUUAAGCCCUGCUUAGUGUUGGGAAUCCGCGGUUACCCGGUAUCUACCCUGUAGCGCGGUUCCUUAAAACCUUCGGCGGAUCUGUGGUGUCCUCUGAGCGUAGUAAAUCAUCUCUCGCUUCUGUAGGCGCCGCGGCCCCUGCCGUAAAACCUUUACAAUUCAAGUGGUUGACCUCGGAUCAGGUAGGAAUACCCGCUGAACUUAAGCAUAUCAAUAAGCGGAGGAAAAGAAACCAACAGGGAUUGCCCUAGUAACGGCGAGUGAAGCGGCAACAGCUCAAAUUUGAAAUCUGGCCUUCGGGUCCGAGUUGUAAUUUGUAGAGGAUGCUUUUGGUGCGGUGCCUUCCGAGUUCCCUGGAACGGGACGCCUUAGAGGGUGAGAGCCCCGUACGGUUGGACGCCUAGCCUCUGUAAAGCUCCUUCGACGAGUCGAGUAGUUUGGGAAUGCUGCUCAAAAUGGGAGGUAAAUUUCUUCUAAAGCUAAAUACCGGCCAGAGACCGAUAGCGCACAAGUAGAGUGAUCGAAAGAUGAAAAGCACUUUGAAAAGAGGGUUAAAUAGCACGUGAAAUUGUUGAAAGGGAAGCGUUUGCGACCAGACUUUUUCCAGGCGGAUCAUCCUGUGUUCUCACUGGUGCACUUCGCCUGGUUUAGGCCAGCAUCGGUUUCUGUAGGGGGAUAAAAGCUUCGGGAAUGUGACUCCUUCGGGAGUGUUAUAGCCUGUUGCAUAAUACCUUUAUAGGGACCGA